GCGACGGCCCUAUGGAGUAGUAGAUUCAGAGACUCCAACCCUUGCGGCAAACUUGGGUUGGGGACUUUCCUGCCGAGUCAAUGACGGAUUUCAUAUAACCCGUGAAAUAUCAGACUUUUAGGGGAGUGUCACCUAACUCAGAAAUAAUACAAAGAUCAGAAAACUGCAUUGACAAAAAGGUUUAUGAUUAUAAAAAAUAUACAUAUGUUUUGAAAUUAUAUCUUUCAUGAUGUUUAUGACUAGCUCUCAACUAUUUUAUUUUUAUAUACAAGCUUUAUUUUGGAUUUCUUCGUAUAUCAGUUGUCACACUCCUUUUUUAACUCCAAAAAUUGUGAUUUUAAGUUCAAAAGGGUUUUUAUUAUUAAAGGUGACAAAAUGAAGAAUUGUUUCGAAAAAAGAUUAGUUUUACAAUUAACUCAGAGUCGCCAUUUGGCAUAAUCCGGUGUGCCAAGUAACCUUUGUAAAAUCCUUUUCAAAAAUGAUUUGACUCUUUAGAUUGAUUUGCAAACAGAGAUUCCGGUUAAGGAAUUCUGUUGAUCGAGGGAAGGUGUUAGGCACCCCUCGAUCCCGUGGUUCGACCACAGUCGCUUGAUAGAGCGUAUCGGCUAAUUUUGACACUAAGAAUAUAUAAUCACAUAAACAAACAACAACCAAACAAACAACUACAAAUCCCAAAAAUAUAAUGUUCAGUCCAAAUUAUAUAGUCUCAAAAAUAGAAAAAAUACAGAAAUGUAAAUCCUAUUCUAAAAUAAUUCUAGACUAAUGCUCUACCCGAUGCCUCGGGCCUUCAUCACGAACAUCUUUCGAGUACAAGAUACAUCGGGGCAUUCCCCGGAGAAUAAGUACAUGAAACCUCGGGGCAUUCCCCUGUAAAAUGAAUACAUUUUUCAAUUUUAUGCAUUAAAACUAGAAAGAACCAUUUAACGAACAUUCACACAUUCAACAAAUCACCAUUUUCCAAUUUCUACAAUUUGCCGACCCAAACUCAAUAUUUGCCUACCCACUUAACUAUCUAAAUCAUGAUACUAUCAAUUUUAACAAUAUCCAACAAUGAAUCAAAGUUAAUCUAAAUUCACUUUUAUCAAUGUUUUAAUCCCCCUAAAUCUCACAUGAUUAAACCAAUUCACUAUCAAAUCACUUUUCAAAAUUCGAAAUCAACAUCGAACACAUACCCCAAUGAAGAUUCAGUCAAUUAAGCAUACCGAUCAUUCGUAUCCACAACAAUAAUCAACAUUUGCUUGAAAUAUUCAAAACCACACCACAAAAUCACGAUAUCAACCAACUUCGAUAUAAUAAAAAAAAAAGUAGAGUUAAGAGAUGGACCUUUUGAAAAUUGAUUUCGUUGGUAAUAAGAUUUAAGAAUACCCGGAUUUGGGAUCCCGAAUAGGACCUCAACAGCGACGAACUCCAAACUCGAUAUCGAAAAGCUCAAAAAUCAAAACUGAAUUCAAUAAAUGGGUCAAGACGAUCAGAAACCUAAAUUCCCAAACCAAUAAAGGAUACCGAUGACGCCUAAAUAAAGAUAGCAGCAGCAUAAAAUAGACCCGUAUACAAAACUAUCGCGAAAAACCGCUCCGAAAAAAGACCAUUUUCAGCGAAGAACUCCUCUCACCAGCCCCUUUAUUCCGAUCUAUUUCAGCUCAUCAUCGCCUUAUCCCUCACUCUCUCCGAUCUCAUGAUCUCUCUCUCGCUGAUUUCUUUGAUUCUCUCUCAUUCUCCGAUUCUUUCCGAUGUGUAUAUUCAGUUUCAGUGGGGUGUAUUUGGAGUCAGAAAAGGAAAAGAAUUCCCCAGCCCCCCUCAAAAUUGCGUCUGUGCUUGUGUAUUUCGUCUAUGGAGUAUGUGUGUCAUGAAUUUGAGAGUGACCGUGAGUUUCUCCGAGUUGAAAAAUGAGUGAAGUGUGUAUUUUAGUGAAUAUACAUUAGUAAGGAUGAUGACCAAAAAAUGGGUCGGUCCCUGAUG
rnacentral:lncRNA from 1 species